rnacentral:tRNA from 1 species
CCCCUGGUGGUCUAGUGGUUUGGAUGCGGCGCUCUCACUGCCACGGCCCGGGUUCAAUCCCAGUCAGGGAU